rnacentral:piRNA from 1 species
UAAUAACCUGAAAAUUCCUGCCUCUGGUGA